UACGCAACUUUUAUGCCAAACAUGUGAUAGAAUUUUGAUUAUAACUGGAGGGAGGAAAUAAAUAUUCUACUAUGGGACAGUUUGGAAACCAGGAUCAAUCGAAAUUACAUUAAAAAAAAGUUCUUAUUUAUAAUAAUUUAGCCAAGCUACGCUACCCUACCAGUGCAAAAUGCAGUAGAAGCAUAUAUGGGGAUUUCUGAUAUGGUUAAGUUCUCAUCCCACAUAGGAUUGGCUGUGCGGGAAAGUGUUCAAGUAUUCUAACUUACUUUCUUCUGCGGAAUGGAGCGGUAAACUUUGUGUAAACUGUGGAAAGUAAUUCUGAAAGUGGGCAUAUUAAAUACAUAUUGAAUUAGAGAGUGUAAUCUCUUCCAACCAAGUCGGCCCUCUAUAGUAUAAGUAACAUAAUAAAAUCCAUUGUAUACCGUAACUAGUGAAAAUAUGAUAACGAUAAAACA